CAGCUCUUACAUCACUUGAGGAGUUAAUAGGAAUGCAGAGCUCCUGGUCUCUUCCUGGACCUGGAUUCAGCUGACUACCGUGCAUAUGGAAAAAUGAAAUUACUCACAGGAAGUCCUGUCUCUGCACAGAGCUGCUUCUGCUAAGAGGCAGACUCACUGCCAAUACUGAAAAGGGGAAGAACCACAGUCCUGGUAGGAG
rnacentral:lncRNA from 1 species